rnacentral:rRNA from 1 species
AACGAACGCUGGCGGCAGGCCUAACACAUGCAAGUCGAGCGCCCUUUCGGGGGAGCGGCGGACGGGUGAGUAACGCGUGGGAAUAUGCCCUUCUCUACGGAAUAGCCUCGGGAAACUGAGAGUAAUACCGUAUACGCCCUUUGGGGGAAAGAUUUAUCGGGGAAGGAUUAGCCCGCGUUGGAUUAGGUAGUUGGUGGGGUAAUGGCCUACCAAGCCGACGAUCCAUAGCUGGUCUGAGAGGAUGAUCAGCCACACUGGGACUGAGACACGGCCCAGACUCCUACGGGAGGCAGCAGUGGGGAAUCUUAGACAAUGGGGGCAACCCUGAUCUAGCCAUGCCGCGUGAGUGAUGAAGGCCUUAGGGUUGUAAAGCUCUUUCAGCUGGGAAGAUAAUGACGGUACCAGCAGAAGAAGCCCCGGCUAACUCCGUG